rnacentral:lncRNA from 1 species
CUCCUUAAAAAACUCUUAACUAGAAAGACAGGAAACUCAACUGGGAAGUAGGAGGCAGAAGUGGGGACUAUAGGGUGUGGGUUUGGCAAAGGCUGGAGAAUAGUUUCCCUAGAGCAGAAGAGUGGGCAAGGGUAAGACCUGGACUCUCAGGGACCAUGGGAGAUGAGCCAAUGAGAGGCAAGAGAGCACUGCCACACUAGGACCAAAAGAUCCAAAUGCCUAUCUAUGCUCCCUAGUUCUACUUGACAUUAACUCGAAGUCCUAGCCAGAGCAAGUAAGAAAGAAGAGAAAACAGGCAUCCAGAGAGAUAGUAAGAGAAUCAGUAAAACCCCCUCUAAUUACAGAUGACAAGAGCUCAUAUGUAGACAAUCCUAGAGAAACACACACACACACACAACUAUUCUAGCUAAUACAUGAAUUAAAAAAGAAAAGAAAAGAAAACUGAAGGGUGCAAUAGUCACAGAAAAAAAUCAAUUGCAUUUUUAUACACAUUGGGAAAAGGAAAUUAAGAAAGCCAUUCCGUUUAUAAUAGCCUCCAAAUCUAAAAUGCUUAGAAAUUAAUUUACCCAAGGAAGUGAAAGACUUGUACACUGAUAACUAUAAAACACUAUUGAAAGAAACUAAAAAAUACCUAAGGAGAUGAAAAGACAUCCCAUGUUCAUGCUUUAAAAGACUCCAUAUUAUUAUAAUGGUAAUAAUCCCCAAAUGGAUACAUAGAUCAGUGCCAUCUCUAUCAAAAUCCCAAUGACCUUUUUUAAAAAACAGAAACAGAAAAACUGAUGCCAAAAUCCAUAUAGAAUUUCAAGAGACCCUGAAUAGCCAAGCAGCCUUUGAAAAGAACAAAGUUGGGGGGUUGGGGGACUCACACAUCCCAAUUUCAAACACUACUACAAAGUUAUAGUAAUGAAAACAGUGUGGUAUUGGCACAAGACUAGACACAUAGGUCAGUGGAAUGGAUGUGAGAGUCCAGACACAAACUGGUACAACUAUGGCACUUGAUUUUGAACAAGGGCGCCAAGACCAUUCAAUGUAUACAAAGUAGUCUCUUACAAUUCAACAAGACAAAUAAUCCAAUUACAAAGUGAGUAAAGGACUUACAUGGACAUUUUUCCAAAGAAGAUACACAAAGAGACCACAAACAUGAAAGUAUGCUCAAUGAAUAUCAUUAGUCUCAGGAAAAUACAGAUCAAAACCCAUAUGAGCUGCCACUCAUUUUACCAGGAUGGCUAAAAUUAAAAGUAAAAUAAAUGUUGGUGAAGAUUUAGAGAAAUUACAACCCUCAUACAGUGCUGGUAGGCAUGUAAAAUGAUACAGUCAGUAUGGCAAAUACUUCUUUAUUUCUUCAAAAGGUUAAUCAGAAUUACCACAUGACCAGGAAUCCUACUCUUAGGCAUAUAUUACCAAAAUAAUUAAAGACAG